rnacentral:rRNA from 1 species
AUUGAACGCUGGCGGCAGGCCUAACACAUGCAAGUCGAACGGUAACAGGAAGAAGCUUGCUUCUUUGCUGACGAGUGGCGGACGGGUGAGUAAUGUCUGGGAAACUGCCUGAUAGCGGGGGAUAACUAUUGGAAACGAUAGCUAAUACCGCAUGACAAUAGGGUACACAUGUACCCUAUUUAAAAGGGGCAAAUGCUUCACUAUGAGAUGGACCUGCGCUGUAUUAGCUAGUUGGUAAGGUAACGGCUUACCAAGGCGACGAUACAUAGCCGACCUGAGAGGGUGAUCGGCCACACUGGGACUGAGACACGGCCCAG